UACGUAGGGUCCGAGCGUUGUCCGGAAUUACUGGGCGUAAAGAGCUCGUAGGCGGCUUGUCACGUCGGGUGUGAAAGCCCGGGGCUUAACCCCGGGUCUGCAUUCGAUACGGGCUAGCUAGAGUGUGGUAGGGGAGAUCGGAAUUCCUGGUGUAGCGGUGAAAUGCGCAGAUAUCAGGAGGAACACCGGUGGCGAAGGCGGAUCUCUGGGCCAUUACUGACGCUGAGGAGCGAAAGCGUGGGGAGCGAACAGG
rnacentral:rRNA from 1 species